rnacentral:sRNA from 1 species
UUUAAAUUAUUAUUUUUAGUCCUUACGUUGUCAAGUCAAAUAUUUACUAAUGUAGUAUCUUAUUAUAUAAAGUAUGGUUUUCAAAGUUACUAACUCAUAGGAUCGUGCAACGUGUCAAGUCAAACGAUCAGAUGUUUACAUAUUUCAUUCAAAA